UGACACAACCAUUCGACACCGAAUAAGUCAGUGCUACCGCUCUUAGUCAUUUGAUUCGUGUGAAAGUGGUGUUGUGCCAAAAUGUGGUUGCCUGCCAAAAAUGUAUUUCCUUCGCGGGAGCGUGCAUCCCUCGCUAAAUUUACAUUGCUUGGCUUCGUCUGUCCACAGUGGAUUACCAGCUUCCCGUCGUCCUUCCUCGUUGUCGAGCUGUGUGUCUCGUCUUCCUGGAUCCCCUCUGGACUUCCUCUUGCCUCUCUGGACUUCGACCUCACGCCUGCCCACUGACCACAACCCCUCACUCCUGUCCUUGGACUUUCGAGCCUGCCUUUCUCCCUUGGGACUUCCGCCUCGAUUUCAACACACACCUUCAACACCCGCUGCUCGGCCGGCGAGAAGACAAAAGCUGUUUUUAAUCCUACCAAGCAAAAGGCUUGUAGAACUCCACUGUGUAGGAUGGGAAGCAACAUGAAAAUGUUCUGUUUUUUUGAUGUAUUGUAAUCAACAGAAAGAUAUUGUCUUGACCCGAGAUCUACAAAACGAAGAAGAAGCAGGACCUGACUCCCCUACAGGGACCUCUUCUUUGAACUGUUUUACGACCUUUCUUGUGAACUGUUUACGACCUUUUCUUUGAAUUGUUCUGUAGCCAAAGGCCAUGGCUGUUUACGACCCCUUCCCUUGGAAACAGCUGUUGCCUUAUAAUCAGGGAAAGUCCAAAUAAAAAAGGAGUCGUAAAAUCUUUCGUCAGGGGCGUGGGACGACACUGUACAAGGGUACAGUGUCUACACGUCUCUCCUCAAUUGAACCAAAUUUAA